rnacentral:rRNA from 1 species
UCCAGACUCCUACGGGAGGCAGCAGUGGGGAAUAUUGGACAAUGGGGGGAACCCUGAUCCAGCGACGCCGCGUGAGUGAAGAAGUAAUUCGGUAUGUAAAGCUCUAUCAGCAGGGAAGAAAAUGACGGUACCUGACUAAGAAGCCCCGGCUAACUACGUGCCAGCAGCCGCGGUAAUACGUAGGGGGCAAGCGUUAUCCGGAUUUACUGGGUGUAAAGGGAGCGUAGACGGUCCUGCAAGCCAGAUGUGAAAGCCCGGGGCUCAACCCCGGGACUGCAUUUGGAACUGUAAGGCUAGAGUGUCGGAGAGGCAGGCGGAAUUCCUAGUGUAGCGGUGAAAUGCGUAGAUAUCAGGAGGAACACCGGCGGCGAAGGCGGCCUGCUGGACCGCGACUGACGUUGAGGCUCGAAAGCGUGGGGAGCAAACAGGAUUAGAUACCCCUGUAAG